GGCAAAAUUCCUUCAGGAAGAAGCCAAAGGGAAGAAUCAGUGAAACAAUGUGUGAUUAGCCUGUUUGAUUCAAUACUAUUGACUGUGACUAAAUCAAUGUAGAAACUCAAAGGACAAAUACUACAGUGAAAUUGUACUAUCGCGCUCUUUGUUGGAGAAGAUGAGACUGGAAACUUAAUCUCAGCCAUUGAAUAUGCACCUGCUUCUCAGAUUGGCAAGGCAACAAUUUACUGUGAAGAAUCAGUUGUUUUGAAUGGCUAAUUGGUUACAGGUGCAAUGAAUUAGCCAUCUGCCUUAGAGACUGACUCAACUAAGGGAAGGAAAAUCCUUUUCUGUCACUUUGGGAGCACAUCAGUGAGCUGUGAUUCUAACUUGGAAUUUGUGGAUUCUAUGUGGGAUGAGGUGUCAGUUGCGACCAGAGGCCAGGAGAGAAGAGGAGGGGGAGGCCCCGCAGGUCCUCAGAUGCUUCUGGAAGCCUCUGGAAAGAGCCCAGCCUGGACGCCCGGGCCCCACCCCCACCUUCCCGGGCCCCGAAGACCUGAGGCCUCCCCAGCCUGAUGCCCACCCACCCCUGCAUCCCUGGCCCGACAGCCCAGGCCUUGGGGAGCACGCACUGGGGGCUCUGGUGCCUGCCGGUGAGGUCGACUGGACCCUCUGUCUGUCUGUCUGUCUGUCCAGGGUAGUGACAGGCAGCUCAGCUCCAGAUCUGAGAUUGUCUCCUCCCGGCCCCACUGUCACCUCCUUAGUCUCUGAGUAAUCAGUUUCUCCUGAUCCCAAUAAACGUCUUUUGACCUAAAGACUUCUUUCUUGG
rnacentral:lncRNA from 12 species